AACGAACGCUGGCGGCAGGCCUAAUACAUGCAAGUCGAACGGGCGUAGCAAUACGUCAGUGGCGGACGGGUGAGUAACACGUGGGAACAUGCCUUUCGGUUCGGAAUAACGCAGGGAAACUUGCGCUAAUACCGGAUGACCCGGCGACGGAAAAGAUUUAUCGCCGAAAGAUUGGCCCGCGUAGGAUUAGCUAGUUGGUGAGGUAACGGCCCACCAAGGCGACGAUCCUUAGCUGGUUUGAGAGAACGAUCAGCCACACUGGGACUGAGACACGGCCCAGACUCCUACGGGAGGCAGCAGUAGGGAAUCUUGGACAAUGGGCGCAAGCCUGAUCCAGCCAUGCCGCGUGGGUGAAGAA
rnacentral:rRNA from 1 species